rnacentral:rRNA from 1 species
AUUGAACGCUGGCGGCAGGCCUAACACAUGCAAGUCGAGCGGAUGAAGGGAGCUUGCUCCUGGAUUCAGCGGCGGACGGGUGAGUAAUGCCUAGGAAUCUGCCUGGUUGUGGGGGAUAACGUCCGGAAACGGGCGCUAAUACCGCAUACCUCCUGAGGGAGUACGUGGGGGAUCUUCGGACCUCACGCUCUCAGAUGAGCCUAGGUCGGAUUAGCUAGUUGGUGGGGUAAAGGCCUACCAAGGCGACGAUCCGUAACUGGUCUGAGAGGAUGAUCAGUCACACUGGAACUGAGACACGGUCCAGACUCCUACGGGAGGCAGCAGUGGGGAAUAUUGGACAAUGGGCGAAAGCCUGAUCCAGCCAUGCCGCGUGUGUGAAGAAGGUCUUCGGAUUGUAAAGCACUUUUAGUUGGGAGGAAGAGCAGUAAGUUAAUACCUUGCUGUUUUGACGUUACCAACAGAAUAAGCACCGGCUAACUUCGUG